UACAUAGGGGGCUAGCGUUGUCCGGAAUCAUUGGGCGUAAAGCGCGCGUAGGCGGCCCGGUAAGUCCGCUGUGAAAGUCAAAGGCUCAACCUUUGAAUGUCAGCGGAUACUGCCGGGCUAGAGUCCGGAAGAGGCGAGUGGAACUCCUGGUGUAGCGGUGGAAUGCGCAGAUAUCAGGAAGAACACCAACGGCGAAGGCAGCUCGCUGGGACGGAACUGACGCUGAGGCGCGAAAGCGUGGGGAGCGAACAGG
rnacentral:rRNA from 1 species